GUGACGACAUUUACCGGGCUUUAACGGUUGUUGCUGCAUGAAGUCUGCUGCAAUUUCUCUGAGAUUUCUCAAGAUCAUAAGUUUGGACAGAAUUCAUUUGAAGAAUUAAUAGCACUAGCAGGUUCCAAUAAAGGCUGGAACAGAACAGACAGAAAAGAAUCUGUCAGAAGAAAUUCAACUACUGUUCGUGCACCAGAUGGUGAAGUAGAAAAGUUCGUAAAAACUUCUGCAGCUUGCAUCUGACAGAGAUGCAAAAAGAAUAAGAGAGCGGGCCUGAAAACAAGCAAAUUCAAGUCUUUCCUUCUUUUAGGGUACACUUGAGGAGUGUCCAGAUGUUUAUUAAUGUUUUAUUAAUGUAAUGUUAUGUUUCAAAUAAACAUGUAAACAUACUGUAUAUUUUUCUUUCUUUUUUAAACACCUACAGUAAAGUGUGACACUUAAC